UACGUAGGGGGCUAGCGUUGUCCGGAUUUAUUGGGCGUAAAGAGCGUGUAGGCGGCCUUACAGGUCAGCUGUGAAAACUCGAGGCUCAACCUCGAGACGUCGGUUGAAACCGUAAGGCUAGAGUCCGGAAGAGGAGAGUGGAAUUCCCGGUGUAGCGGCGAAAUGCGCAGAUAUCGGGAAGAACACCCGUGGCGAAGGCGGCUCUCUGGGACGGUACUGACGCUGAGACGCGAAAGCGUGGGGAGCGAACAGG
rnacentral:rRNA from 1 species